GAUGAACGCUGGCGGCGUGCCUAAUACAUGCAAGUCGAGCGAACAGACGAGGAGCUUGCUCCUCUGACGUUAGCGGCGGACGGUUGAGUAACACUUUGAUAACCUACCUAUAAGACUGGGAUAACUUCGGGAAACCGGCGCUAAUACCGGAUAAUAUAUUGUACCGCAUGGUUCAAUCGUGAAAGACGGUUUUGCUGUCACUUAUAGUUGGAUCCGCGCCGCAUUAGCUAGUUGGUAAGGUAACGGCUUACCAAGGCGACGAUGCGUAGCCGACCUGAGAGGGUGAUCGGCCACACUGGAACUGAGACAAGGUACAGACUCCUACGGGAGGCAGCAGUAGGGAAUCUUCCGCAAUGGGCGAAAGCCUGACGGAGCAACGCUGCGUGAGUGAUGAAGGUCUUCGGAUCGUAAAACUCUGUUAUUAGGGAAGAACAAAUGUGUAAGUAACUAUGCACGUCUUGACGGUACCUAAUCAGAAAGCCACGGCUAACUACGUG
rnacentral:rRNA from 1 species